rfam:Blastomyces dermatitidis ER-3 genomic scaffold supercont1.11, whole genome shotgun sequence.
GGUUUCAUGGUCUAGUGGUUAUGACAUCGGAUUUUGACGACCAUAUCAAAACUUCCGAUAACCUGGGUUCGAAUCCCAGUGAGACCU